rnacentral:rRNA from 1 species
GGUAGCGACGGGGCAGUGUCGGCGUGAAUAGUUGGGGGGCAAGUGUGGACAGGAAUAACGGGGCUGAAAGGGCGCGUGGACGGUGUUUUAAGUCAGAUGUGAAACCUCCCUGCUUAACUGGGGUGAGGCAUUUGAUACUGGAGAGCUUGAGUGCGGGAGAGGACAGUGGAAUUCCUAGUUUAGCGGUGAAAUGCGUAGAUAUUAGGAGGAACACCAGGGGCGAAGGCGGCUGUCUGGACUGUAACUGACGCUGAGGCGCGAAAGCGUGGGGAGCAAACAGGAUUAGAUACCCUGGUAGUC